UGGCAGUUUGGGCUUGAUCAGUGCAGU
rnacentral:piRNA from 1 species